GAAAUGCGAUAAGUAGUGUGAAUUGCAGAAUUCAGUGAAUCAUCGAAUCUUUGAACGCACAUUGCGCCCUUUGGUAUUCCAAAGGGCAUGCCUGUUCGAGCGUCAUUUGUACCCUCAAGCUCUGCUUGGUGUUGGGCGUCUUGUCUCUAGCUUUGCUGGAGACUCGCCUUAAAGUAAUUGGCAGCCGGCCUACUGGUUUCGGAGCGCAGCACAAGUCGCACUCUCUAUCAGCAAAGGUCUAGCAUCCAUUAAGCCUUUUUUUCAACUUUUGACCUCGGAUCAGGUAGGGAUACCCGCUGAACUUAAGC
rnacentral:misc_RNA from 1 species